AUGAGGAGGUGACAAUUAUGAUGCUCUUGUUUCAGGUGUGAGGGAUGACGGUGUGGGUGCUGCAUACAGAAUAAUGAAAAAGCUGAAAACCUAGCUGGUGCUGAGGACUGGUUCCAUGCGUAGAUCUAUGACUUGAAAGAGUCUCCAAGCAGAGGUGACCCGAGCAGGGUACGGGGCCUGUGGCAAGUCAGCGAGUGGGGAUAGCGAGCGGCUGGACGUAGAGCUGCUGCUGCUCUGCCCGGCUCUGCAGGGCCCCCCAAAGCACGGGGCCUGGGGUGGUUACCCCAGUUCAUCCCCCCCCUAGGAAUGACCCCAUCUCCAAGGCUGUGGAAGAGAGAGAGAGAGAGAGACCAGGAGUAGCUAUCAGACAGCAAAAUUGCCAGAAGAAACAUUCACUUGAUUAGUGGAACACCAUGACUACUAAAAAGGAAAGAUGAUUGUUAGCACUGCUGAAGUGAAGAACAAUGAAUCAUUAAGACAACUGAUUCCCUCAGCUGCCUGAAUGAUAGUGCGACUCCUGCUCUACAGUGCAGCAGAUGACAAAAGUAGGGGGCUUCUAUCCCAAAUGAAAAUCGGAUUCCCUGCUUAAUACAAACACCCCAAUGUUAGGGGGGCUUUUUGUGGGGGGGAAAAGGGGCAUGUUACAUGUGAGAAAACAUGGUAUACUAUGUAUAUAGUUUCUGAUACAACAUGAAAAAUUACAGUUAAAGUGCACAUUCCUUCUGCAACCUGCCAAAAACAUUAUGCUACAGCAGAGUUAAAAGUUUCUGCAUACUGGGGCAAUAUUGCUACCUCCAACAGUAAUUAAUUAUUUUGGUAAGGUUAAUCUCAAACUUCCCAUUAUAAUAACAUCUUUUUGGUAUUGUACAAAUUGAGCCUGAUUUAGCCAUUCAGAAUGAAGUUUUCCAUGCUAGGUAUUUGCUUCAUGCUGAAAAGUACGUGUGUGUAAAAUUUCAGCUAAAACAGCAAAGAACUAAAUGUGGUAUGUAUUAA